CUACAACAGAACCGUCACGGUUCCCCGCACGGGCAAAGCCCAGGGGAUGAAACGGGAAUGCGGUGCGGGACGACUCACCCCGAGGUCCCAAGUCCGCAGCUGCCCCCGCAACUGUCAGCGGCGAGCCCUGCCGCAGCAUGCCACUGGCGCCUUUGAACGCGAGGCGCCGGGAAGGCGCGGCGAAGGGCGACGACCCGCGAGCCAGGAGACCGGCCGCGACGCGACGCAACCC
rnacentral:ncRNA from 2 species